GACGAACGCUGGCGGCGUGCUUAACACAUGCAAGUCGAACGGUGAAGGGGUCUGCUUUUGUGGGCCCUGGAUGAGUGGCGAACGGGUGAGUAACACGUGAGUAACCUGCCCCCUUCUUCUGGAUAACCGCAUGAAAGUGUGGCUAAUACGGGAUAUUCUGGGUCUGUCGCAUGAUGGGUCUGGGAAAGAUUGCGCCUUUGGGUGUUUUUGGUGGGGGAUGGGCUCGCGGCCUAUCAGCUUGUUGGUGGGGUGAUGGCCUACCAAGGCGGUGACGGGUAGCCGGCCUGAGAGGGUGGACGGUCACACUGGGACUGAGACACGGCCCAGACUCCUACGGGAGGCAGCAGUGGGGAAGAUUGCACAAUGGGCGCAAGCCUGAUGCAGCGACGCCGCGUGAGGGAUGGAGGCCUUCGGGUUGUAAACCUCUUUCGCCAGUGAAGCAGGCCUGCUCCUUGUGGGUGGGUUGACGGUAGCUGGAUAAGAAGCGCCGGCUAACUACGCG
rnacentral:rRNA from 1 species